GUGUUCGCUUCGGCAGCACAUAUACUAAAAUUGGAACGAUACAGAGAAGAUUAGCAUGGCCCCUGAACAAAGAUGAUAUGCAAAUUUAUGAAGCAUUCCAUAUUUUU
ensembl:snRNA U6 U6 spliceosomal RNA